rnacentral:lncRNA from 1 species
GACUUUCCUCCUGUGAGCCAAUGAGGCCAGCUGGACUACGCCGAGACAACUGGGAGAGGCGCGGGACUCGCCCGUUCCGCGGAACGCCGGGAAGGGGUCACCUCCUGAUGAAGUUUCCGGUUCCGGUGUCAGCGGCGGUUGAAUUGCCAUGGCAAUGCGGUGGGCGCGCGCUUGUCGUGUUGGUCUCUUGGGAGGUAGCGGGGCUAGGCCGGGCGGGUAUCCGCCUCUCCCAGCUUAGGUGAGCGUCCCCGGGCGCCUCCGGAGCGCCGCGGCCGCAUGCAGUUCGUCGUGGCGGGGAGCCGGAGCCUGACCGGGGUUCCAGCGCUCGGGCCGUAGCCUUGGCUCCUGGACUUUCCCUGGCUCCGCCGCCACGUGGGAGCUGAGGCUCUGGGGCUUCCGCCUCCGGCGCGCGAUUAUUUCUCUAGAACAGUUUUCAUUUUUAAAAUUUGUAAAGCGCUUUUGCCUGUGUGAUUUCCUCUGGGUUUUUUUUUUUUUUCUUCCUUUUUGUAGAGACGGAAUUGGCGGCGGGGGCGGGGGGUCGAUGUCUCACUUUUUUGCCCAGGCUGGUCUCGAACUCCUGGCUUCAAGGGAUCCUCCUGCCUCGGCCUCUUAAAGUGCUGGGAUUACAGGCGUGAGCCACCGCCCCCGGCCGCCUCUGAGUUUCCAGCCUCGUUGGCCCUCCAGCCUUUUAACCUGUUGGGCCUAGGAUCAGGAAAGGUUUGUUGAAUGGGGAACUAAGAAGUGAAUUCGUUCGUUCGACAAACGUUUCCUGAGCAGCCGCUGGGUGCUAGGCGCAGUGCCAGCGCGGAAUGUCCAGGGAGACCUGGUGCCCAAAGCUUGGACCCAUCGUGAGAAAUGAGAAGCAGAUACAAAGCAGUGUGGGAGUGCAGAGGAGACAAAGCAAGCCUCAUCAGGCCCAUUGCUUGCUCUGCUCUCCCUUGUACUUACCAGUGCUUGACAAUAUACAGUUAUUUACUAGCUUGGUUAUUGACUUCCUACCCAGCACUCAGUUUUAUUCACUGCUGUAUCCUCAGUGCCUAGGACGAUGCUUGGAACGUGGUAAGUGCUCCUAUUGGCGGGAAGAAUAAAUCCGGAAGAGCAGGACCAGUGGACUUGCUACAUAAUCUGUAGUCUUGGAGCCGCACAGGGUUGGUGGUACCCUCGAGCACACCAGACUUGCAGAAAAAGCAUACUCCAGAGGAAGCUGAGGCAUGCCUGCUCGAGAGCCAGCUGUUCCAUGUGCAAUUUUCCUCUGAUAGUUUCUGGUCACUGUUGCCACGGUGAUAAUGACUGGGCUAUGUCAUUAUCUAUCCGCCAACAGUAAGAGAAGCUUUGCAGUCGAGAUAUUGUUUAGCAGAUGGAGUGUUUUCUGUUGAACACUAAGUACUGCCACAAGUUACUUUUUUUUUUUUAAACUUUGAGUAUUUUUUUACAAUGUUGCUGGAGGUGAUCUGUUUAUGCUUUGAGAGUGUUCGAAUUUAAAAUCAGAAAAUCAUGUCAGUGAGUGAGUCUUUCAAAUAAUCCUUCGGCAUGAAACCUGAGCCUAGUAAACUAUGAAAGUAAACUCGGCACAUUACCCGAAAGUCUCAAUGUCAUAUUUUCACCCCCAUCAAUAUUAUUGAUGAUUGCUCAUUUUCUAAUGUGGGACCUGAAAUUUACCAGGUGCUUAAAGAAUCUUUUUGUUUUUCAGAUUCAUUGAUUCCAGGUAAAUCAGAGGAACAAGCAACAUGAACAGAAAUAUGUAGAAAAAGCUAUUAUGCAGAAGCAUAAUUGUUGUUUCAGAAGUCCAGCAUCUGGUGCACUUAACAAUAGAGAAUAUAUUAAACUCUUUCCAAAAUAACCUGUUGUUCCUACCUGUGUUGUAAGUGUUUUGUUUGUUUUUAAGUAAAUAUUGGUGAUUUGUUGCCA